CAGCAAAAACCGUCGUCGCCGAGAGCCACUCCGUCCGCCCCCACACGCCACCGCCUCAACACCGAUCGCACUCGCCGCCGCCGCCGCGCUCCGCUCGCAUGCGACCGCCAAGGAACACCGCCGAAAUCCUCGCAUGAUCGAGCCAUAGCCUCUCUCUCCUCUCCCACUUCGCCGUCGCCCUCUCCUAUUCGACGGCGCCGUCCUCUCGGCUUGACCGUUGGCUGACGCCGCCGUCCGCACGAUCGCCAAGUUCACCUCCGGCUCCUCCGCCUCUCCGCAAGCUCCGAUACGCCCCGUCGGCCCGAGUUUCCGUCCUUCGGUGCGUGCUCUCUCGCGAUGGCGGUUCGGAUUCAGAGUCUCAUUCAUCGAGCCGGUCGGGUAGAGAGGAGCUCGUGGUGGCGCGCGGUCUCGUGGAGGCGAAAUCGGCCGUUAAAGGAGGGACCGGGAAGUGCUUGAGGCACAAUGUCUUGGCCCCGCAUGACUCUGGCGGUAGGGCGGUGCUCGCACAAAGGAUUCAAACUGACUGCGAAAGCGCAAGCGAAUUUGAUUGUUGAAGCAUCGAGGAGCCCUUGUGAAUUUGGUGUAAUUAGUCUGAAAUGUCAUGGUCGUUACUGCUUCUAUUUUAAAUGGUUGGUCUCUAUAUGAGUGGAUGUCGAGACAAUGGAGGAUUUUAUGAUUUGUCGGGAGGCUGCAUUGAUGACUUAGCUGCAUCAUCUGGUAUAAGUGCAUUUGCCAGUACAGUUAUAUUACUUCAUUUUCUUCUUUUGUGAUGUGAAGUAAACCUGACAUUUUCAAAGUCGAGAGUUUUCUAGCUUAGCACGUGAAUUCCUUCUUACGUAGGUGCGAUGUGUUUUACGAUAGUGUACUUAGUUCAUUUUUGGUCUUGAUGAAAGGAGGAAAUAUAAGAAAAGAAACUUAGCAAAGUAACUUGUUGCAGUAGGAUAGAUGCGCCGCUUUCAUCUUUCUUCUCGAGAUAUUCUUAUUUAGGAAAUUAAAUAAAUGGCAUUGGAGAUACUGCCUUCGGGCCUUGAGAAGGAUAUACUAGUCUGGUUCGGGAAGACAAUCACAAUGUUGAUUUGGUGUACAUCCCUAGAGAAUAAGCAAGAAGAAAGUGUUUGAACCAAGGAGAAGAUCAAUGUUUAGAAAGUAAAGAAAGAAAUCUAGGAUUCAGGGUCUCCCUGUUGUUAGGUGUCCUCUCAUAUUCGAGGGGCUUUUACAUGCACCACGUGCCUAUGCCUUUCUCUUGCCUAAUUGUGAGUUCCAAUUGAGUGGGUCCACAUAUCAUGUUAUCUGCCCUAUGGAUCUCACUGCAACUAUGCAGUAAUUUCUCUUUUGUACUUCUUCUUUCUUUGGAAAACUAUAAUGUCAAUGAUCGGACAGGUUGGUCGCUCUUAGUUUUGUGAAAUCUGCGUAAUGAAGCAAAUUGCAGUUCAUGCAUUAAAAUUUUAUAAUUACUUGUGUCAAUCAUGGCUUUUCUGAAAUGGAUUUGUUCCUGUUUACCUCAGUUUUGCAUGAUCCUUUGAUAAGCUUGAUCUUCUGUUUUCAUUAUGAAGUGCAUAUACAAUGAGUCAAAGGGAUUUUUCGGAUGGACUCCAGAUCUAGGGGCUAUCUUAUCAGUUCCUUGCAGGAGCAAAAAUCCUCCUCACUAAGAACGAUUGGAUUGCUUGAUGAGGAGAGAAAAUUCUUUCAUUAGGAAAGUGUGUCCGUGUUGUUGACCUUUGCUUUUUGAAAAUGAAUUCCAGAGAUCAGUUCAUGCCAAGAUUUUCCAUAUUUUCUAUGGAAAAACUGGAGGCGGUGCAGAUGGGAUGAGCAGGAGCAGCAGAGCCAUGCUGCAGUCUACCAGCCCAACACUCUCACAGAGGAUGAAUUGGGAGAUUCAGUUACUUGUAAUUUGUCUGAUGAGGAGGAGAUCCACUUUUGUUCCAUGCCGUCAUCUUGUGUGUUGUCAGUGAUAUGCAUUAUCCGUGGAAUGAGAGGUUUCACCAAAAUGCUCUGUUUGUAGGCCACUGAUCUCUAAUUCAGUCCACAUUCUUGAGUAUAAUAGUGAUUUUGUUUCUGUUAGUUCGAGGGUGGGAAGUUGAAAUUGUUAGCUUUUCUUCGUCA